rnacentral:rRNA from 1 species
UACGAAGGGGGCUAGCGUUGUUCGGAAUUACUGGGCGUAAAGCGCACGUAGGCGGGUGGUUAAGUCAGGGGUGAAAUCCCGGAGCUCAACUCCGGAACUGCCUUUGAUACUGGCCAUCUAGAGAUCGGAAGAGGUGAGUGGAAUUCCCAGUGUAGAGGUGAAAUUCGUAGAUAUUGGGAAGAACACCAGUGGCGAAGGCGGCUCACUGGUCCGAUACUGACGCUGAGGUGCGAAAGCGUGGGGAGCAAACGGG